UAUUUUAUUUUAUUUUAUUAAUAUAUAUUAAAGAUUUUCUGCAUUUAAAAGCAGCGCAUGUAUAGACCAAUAAGAAUGGGCUUGGUGUCUAUACAUGUGUUCUCACUGCUCUACCUCUUAUUUGUCCAAUAAACUUUUUCCACAAACCACUUCCCACCACUUCUUCAGAGAUAAAGGUUUACAUGUGUUUUGAUGACACCACCUUUGCUUUUACUACGUAUCCUCCACCACCAACAUCGUCUAAUGACCAUAUUUCUUUUCCACCACUUCACUUGAAUACUUUUAGAUGCGCUUUUAACCCUAUAUUAUCUGGUCGGUUUCUGCCCCGCUUACUUCCUCUUUCACUUUCUCUCUUCAAUAUCGGCACCGGUGGAAGAACUCACUUCGAAGCUUUGCCUUUUGGCUUAUCCGAUGCUCUAUGCUUUGCGGACGCACCACCACCGACAAAAUCCAGGCCUGUCUUCUCCGUUAAAUUGAUUGGGGGAUGUCACCCGGUCAAGAAAUCCAAAAGUUUAUUGUUUUUUUAUCUCAUUCAUGCCCUAAUCCUCAUUCUGUAUCUCGAUUUUAAGCUAUAUACUUUCCGUGAUUUUUUUUCAACAACAAUUUCUAGGGCAAAAACAAUUCACGAUUCUAAUGUCUCUAAUAUUAAUUCAUGUUUCCUCAUGUUAUAUUUAAUUUUUUUUAGAGAGCAACCGUCGAUGAUCCAUCGGACCAGCGGUUGCAAUUAGCCCUGUCAAAAAUACCCGAUACCCGAAUUACCCACCCGAUUUUUUCGGGUAUCGGAUAAAUCGGGUCAGAUAAGUUGGGUAUCGGGUAAAUUUUUUCGGAUAAUUAGAUAACCCGAUUUUUUUUUCAGGUCGGGUAUAGGGUAUGUUUGUUGGGUUUCGGGUAUACCCGAGUUACCCGAAUUAUUUAAAAUUUUUUUUUUCGUAGAGCUUGUACUAGUUCUUAUUGCAACUAAUAAACUCAUUAUCUUGACAAAACUUCAGAACAUGACAAAACUUAUGCCUAUAAUUAUCUUAAACAUUUUAAACUUUUAAAGUAAGAUCUUUAAGUAUUUAUUUUUUAACAUCUUAUUAGAUUAGAUUAAGUUGUUAAAAGAUUACUUAAUAUCUCAAGUAUUAUUGACUAAAAAAUCUCAAUAUUCAAAGUUUGAGUAACUUUGUUUAUAUCUCGUUUGUUUAUAUAAACAAGACUAAUAGAGUAUAACAUAUUUGUUUCAUUAAAUUUAUUUUCAAGUGUCAUUAAAAAAAAUCAUAUAUUUCGGGUAAUACCCGAAUUACCCAAACCCAACCCACUCCCCGAAUUACCUGAAUUUAAUUUGGGUCGGACAACAGGUAUCUUUUUAACAUGAAAAACCCAAAUUACCCGAUCAAUACCCCUAGUUGGAUUGAUUACGAACCUACGAACAAUUUCUGCAAUCGACGUGUUUGGCUUGGAGAAGAUAAGCUGUUUGCAAAUUCACAUCUUCUUAUGAGGAGAGCUAUGAAAGAAAUGGAUGCACCAACUAAAUACUUUAUAAUUGUCUCCACCGUUUUGUUACUCAGGAUAUAUCAUGUAUGUUUCUAAAUUCAGGUGGUUAAAGCAUAUAAGAAGGUGCAUUUUCUGAUGAGUUCCAUUCACGUUUAAGAUUCAGCCACAUGGCAAGUUUCGUUGUAGUAUGGUAAUUGUGGUAAAGUUAGUCACACUUCUUUCAAGUUUCAACCUUCUACAACAAGAGGUUUAGGAUGGCAGUUACUGAGAAGGCUGAAGCUGAGAAGAUGAGGUUGAAUCAAAGUAUUUGUCUGGAGUGGUUAUUGCAUGACAAAGAUAUGCACUUGAUUGUUUAAGAGAUAGUGUGUUGGGGUUUUCAGUAAAUGUGCAUGGGACAACAGCUAAAGAUGUGAUGGAUAUGGUUUUGGUUACGUAAUAUUUUGAUAUCGUCAAAGAAAUUGGGGCUUCAUCUAUAUCAUCUGCUAUGUUUAUACCAUGAUGGUCUUUUUCAGGGUAAUGCCACUCACUGAUUAUUGAUAUUGUUUUAUGAUGAUGAAUCCCCCAAUUUUUGCUUUGGUUGAACCACCUAAGUCGCGAUGUUUUGCUUCCCAAUUAAUUGUCUCCAUUCAAUGAAAAAAGGUUAACAAAUUUGCUUUGACUUUUUAAGGUCAUAUUAGUUAUAAUUUAGUUUCAUAAAUGCCAUGAAUUGUUUUUUUGGUCUUUCAUAUUGAGCAUCCGGCAGCCUUUGAUACAGCAACACUUCUGUUUAAUAAUAUAACAUUGUUUUCUUGAA